GGUAGAAGGAGCUUGCUUCUUUGAGACCGGCGCACGGGUGCGUAACGCGUAUGCAACCUACCUUUUACAGGGGGAUAGCCCAGAGAAAUUUGGAUUAAUACCCCAUGGUAUAAUAGAAUGGCAUCAUUUUAUUAUUAAAGUUCCAACGGUAAAAGAUGGGCAUGCGUCCUAUUAGCUAGAUGGUAAGGUAACGGCUUACCAUGGCUACGAUAGGUAGGGGUCCUGAGAGGGAGAUCCCCCACACUGGUACUGAGACACGGACCAGACUCCUACGGGAGGCAGCAGUGAGGAAUAUUGGACAAUGGGCGCAAGCCUGAUCCAGCCAUGCCGCGUGCAGGAAGAAGCAUCUAUGGUGUGUAAACUGCUUUUGUACGGGAAGAAACACUCCUUCGUGAAGGAGCUUGACGGUACCGUAAGAAUAAGGAUCGGCUAACUCCGUGCCAGCAGCCGCGGUAAUACGGAGGAUCCAAGCGUUAUCCGGAAUCAUUGGGUUUAAAGGGUCCGUAGGCGGUUUAAUAAGUCAGUGGUGAAAUCUGGUCGCUCAACGAUCAAACGGCCAUUGAUACUUGU
rnacentral:rRNA from 1 species